rnacentral:lncRNA from 1 species
CCGGCUGCUUGCAGGAUGAAGCGCAGGGGCACACCGGGCACCGUGACAACUGCUCUCGAGUGUUCUGGACAGGCUUCUGGACCUGCUCUGCUGGGUGCGGCACUGCUCACCACCAAGGACGGUGGGCUUGGUGCUCCGGGCCCAGAGCGGAGCUCUCAGAACAGCGCUGGAGCACAUCACAGCCUGGCCAACCCUGCUGCCCUCCCCACCUGCCAUGGGGUCUAACUCAUCUUGGUCCCUACUCUCUACUGAUCCACCCCAAGUUCCAUCCUGGAAGAGGUGGUGCCCGCCACUCCAUGGGAAGCCACCUGUGAACAUGGUUCAGUGGCUUCUGAGUAUUAAAGGACAGAAAGCCAGCGCCCCGGACCCCCCAGGAAAAGGACCCCAGGCCACACUGGAAACUGAACCCCUGGGUCCAGCCUGUGAUUUAUCAGCCAUGUCACCUGCCUGAGUCACCCCUGUGGCUAUUGGAGGCCCGAACAGUAAGCCAGGGCCAAGGCCUUCUCACGAGAGCAGGGAAGGAUUGAACUCAAGGUCUCCUUAAGUUGCCAAGCUCAAAGAUUCAUGAGUCUGACUUACAUAACCACCAGGGGCCAUUUCCUCAUUCGAAACAGAGGGACUUGCUGAGGACCCCAAGCACUUCCACUUCUAGAAGUCGAAGCCAUUCUCGGAGGAGGCGUAGGAGACACGGGCGGAUCCACAGGAGCUCCAGGGCAUCCCCUGGAAACGGAGGUUCCUUCUGUCCUUCCGAAAGCCUGACGUCCAUGUGCUUUCUUACAAUUUGCCUCUUUCUCCUAAAAAUAGAAUUUUUCUAAUUCCCUUAUUUGAGGUUUUACUUCAUGAUAAACUCUAAGAACAGCAUUCACUCCUAUUUUUUCCAAGAAACACUUUGGACUCCAAAGCCAAAGUCAAAUACAUAAGCACCCGUCCUAGUCCCUCUUUCAUCCUGAGAGCUUGGAUAGAAAUUCAAACGAGCUCAAAAGCCAGAAAUCUGUUUUGAAAAUAAGGUUUUCUGCCUUCCUCCUAUAGGUUUGGGGUUUUUUUAUUUCAAAUUUUAGAUACAGGGGGUACAUGUGCAGGUUUGUUACGUGGGUAUAUUGUACCCCGGUAGUGAACAUACUACCCAAUAGGUAGUUUUUCAACCCACGGCCCCCUCCUCCCUCUCCCUGGUAGUAGUCUUCAGUGUCUAUCCUUCCCAUGUUUACAUCCAUGUGUGUUCAAGGUUUAGCUCCCACCU